GCCUGCACAAGAGGAACCGUUCAUAAUCAUAAAACGAUUUGUUGACAACACUGAACAAAAACAGAACACAAACAGGUCUUCCGGUCCUAUCAAAAUUGUGCACAAAACAGAACCUAUCGACCAACCUGCAAGACACAGUUACAGUAACAUGAUUACUCACAUCACGAGAAAAGCAAUCAUCAGAAAAAAAAAGAAGAACAAAACCUGAGGAAGAGAAGAGAAGAGAGAACCUAGGCUUUCUUGUUAUACACGUGUAGCUAGGUAUUGGUUUUGUGAUAUUGAGAGGAGAAGAAAAGUUGAAGUCGACGAAGAACUCGGUGCUCUCCUCCCAUAUCCGCCUUACCGAAAAAUUGAAUCCUCUGCUCUAGAGCAUCUCCACCGCCGGGUCCCGCCCUCGGGUUGCGAUUGUCAAGGCUUCGACUGUGGAUUCGGAUUACUCGGCGAGAAGGAGCAGCAGCAACGAGCAGAGGGAGACGAUAAUGCUUCCAGGAUGCGACUAUAAUCAUUGGCUGAUUGUAAUGGAGUUUCCCAAGGAUCCAGCGCCAACGAGGGAGCAGAUGAUUCAUACUUAUCUCAACACUCUUGCUACUGUUCUUGGAAGGUGACGGGAGCACCAAUUCGUGGAAUUGAUAUUCCACCACUCCCAGUGAGUUCGCUGGAAGAAGGAACUCUAACCCAACCUUUAGUGAGACCACCAGCUGUUACAGGACCAGUUGUUGAAGGACGUAAAGUGGAGAUCUUGAAAAGCAUUUGUAUAUGGAGGUCUGAUAGAAGCCAUCACAAGCCUCGGUGUUAAUUAUCUCAUCUGCCGCUGGUUCUGGUUCUGGUGCUUCAACAUGUAAGUACAUCCUUCAACCUUUGCAUUCACUCCCAUUAUGAAACACAACACACAAAAAACGUUAAGUCACUCACAUUGUGAAUGAUGAGAAUAAGCCCGCCAAACAGGUUUGCAAGUCCCAAUACCAAAAUGUUCACUGCAACCAAAAACAUCGAGAUGGACACUAAACCUCCGAUCUGCGUUGAGUCAACCUACUGGUAGAUCGUUACGUCCGAUGGUAGAAAGACUUUCGUAGGGACUGGUCGUAACUCGUAAGCCAGAACCUGGAGAAGAUUCCAAGUGGAGUUUCUUCCAGAUCAAGAAAGGUGGAGAUAGGCUACAAGAUUGCAGUUUGUGCUAUCACAAACUAUUGCUUCAAUGUAGGGAUAUAUAUGGACGACGAUGGUGUUCGGCGUUUGGCUUUAAAUUCUUCGCCAUUCCCGGUUCGGUUCGUGAAAGCUACAGGGACAGAGACUUCCUCCAAGACUAUGUCUAUUAUCUGAAAGAAAUUAAAGACUACAGAAUUAAGAGGAAAGAGUUAUAACUUACAACCAAUAAUAUAACUCUAUCUGUAUGUGCUGUUUUCUUUGUUCAUCGAUCAUUAAACCAUCUUUCCUU